GGGGCUGACCUGGUUUUGACAGCAUGAGUGGUGUUAUGUAAGCAUGCAGUGUGUGGUGACGCGUCACUUUUACAGAGUCACAAAACAACAAAAGGCGAAAACAAUUACGCUCUCGCGGCAUAAGCGAAUAAAGUAGCUUAAGCACUUCCGCCGAAAGGCAGAAUCUCCGGGCACAUGUGUCCGGACGAGACGUUUCCCGGGCGGUCAUGCCCUGAUCCAACCCGAUACGGAGACGCACGCAAUCCGGGGCUAGUCUGAAGGUUGUUCCGACCCGAUGGCGAAAUAAACAGGAAAUAAGGAUCAGUUAGGUUGUUCUGCAGCUGACAGAUCACGAAAAUCAAGCAGAGAUAAGCAUGUAGAAAGCAUAUGACUUCCGUGUUUGGACGCGGGUUCGACUCCCGCCAGCUCCACGA
rnacentral:tmRNA from 1 species